UGAGUGAUGAUAGUUUGCUCACUAGUGGCACUCGGACAACGCGAAAAUAAAGUGCCCUUAAUUUUUUUUUCUUUUCUGCAAUAACAACAAAAAGGCAAAGACAUUUUGAGUGAACCAUUUGGUGAAAGGACGAUGAGAUAAACAUAGAGAGUUGUUAUACCCCAAAAAAAAAGAAGAGGAAGGGGAAAGACUCACAGAGCUUAUUCCUCAAGUUCAUCAUCAUCCUUAACCAUCGAUCGAUCAGGAGCAAACGAACCAAAAAGGAUAUUCAUUCUAACAAACGCCGACUCCAAGAUCUAUCUACAAACAUAUAACUCCACAACGAUAGACAAAAAUUUAUAGGACUUUUCUUCCCUUUUUUUCUUCUUUUCUUCUUCUUUUUUCUUCUUCUUCUCCGUUUUCCCGAUUUUUUUAACAAUAUAUGUAACUCUCUCCCCUCUUUCCUCCAGUUUUUUCGAAGUAGAGUAGUACAUACAUACAUAGUCGUUGUUUUUGAUAUUUGACUAAAACAACAAGAACAACCAAUUAAAGGAGAUAACAACUAUUUAAUUAUUUACAGUGAUAUUUUUUUUUGUGAGUGUUUUAAAUCGGUUUUAUCCCUUUCACUUCUUCUUCUCGUAUAUACAACUUGAUCGAAACAAGAUCCAAAGUGACAUAAAACAGAAAAGAUAGUGGUGUGUGAGUGAAUAUCUAUAUUUUUUUGUUGUAAAAUUGUUCAAGUUCUACUUUAUGCAGUAUACAACAUGUGCAUGAACCGUUGUUGACUUUCUUCUUCGGUGAUAUUUGGAAUGGAAAUGCAGUUUUAAUAUAAACAUACAUAUGAAAAUUAAAUAGCUAUAUUUUUAGUCGUUUGGAAGUUAAAUCUAGCUUGAAAUACGAAAAAAGAUGACAAGUCUUGAUUUGAGAGGUUCUAACCCUUCAGAUAACUUCACCUCUUCAACUUAUUUCAAGUAUUGGAGAAUGACUCUGAUAGAGGAUCGAUUUGAAAAAAGAGUCCGUCCCUCUGACUCAAUUAUUUCUCAUCAGAUUAAGGAGGAUUCAUUCUGUUCAACACGUGAAUCAUUGAAUUAAAAAAAAGUGAAAAAAGAAAGAAGACACUGACUAAAUCUUUAAGUCAUCUGACUUUUUUUUAAAAAGGAAGAAGAAAGAACACACUUACGAGAGUUGUUAAGUUAUAAUAAUAAAUUGUUUUCUUUUGAUUAGUAUAAAACCAUAAGAAAAACGUGGAAUUUAGCAAAAGAAAAAUAGAGAUCCAGGAUGUGAGGACUAAGUUCGAAUCUAUUGUGUUUGUUAUUAUUAUUUUUUUGUUGAUUCCUUCAGCAUAGUUUAAAAGACAAUAUUGAUUGCCAAUUUCAAUUAGUUUUUACCCUUGCAUUUAGUUUCUUCUUUACAAGAACAAAAUGCCAUUUGGGUUUGGAGCACUCAAAAACUUUGCUAACAGUGCCGUAUCAGCUGCAACCAAUGUUGCAAGUGAGGCCGCCAAAGCUGCUGAAACAGCAGCUAAUGCUGCAGCUGCUGUUGCAGAAGGUGCAGCACAGCAAGCUACAGCUGCAGCAUCUCAAGUCACAGGUGCACCACCCCCUGCUGCAGCUCCUCCAAAGCCUGCAGUACAGCAGCCGGUUCCACGCCAGCCAGCACCACCACCUGUUGUACAACAACAGUUAGCUCCUAGACAACCAGCUCCAGUUCAGGCACCUGUGCCAACACCACAACAGCAACAGGCUCCUCGACCACAAGCUCCAACACAGCCAACUCCUAUACAACAGCAGCAACCUGUAGCUCAACAACAACAGCAACCAUCACUAGCACAAAAACCACAACCUCCUUCCUUAUUUACACCAGAUCAGGGCCAAGCAGUAGGUACAGGCAGUCCUGGCCCAAGAGGUCCAAGGGGAUUAAGGCCACGUGGGCCUAUGCCACCAAGAGGGUCAUUAACCCCUCGAGGCACUGGUCCCCCUGGUGGUUUUCCUCCUGGCCCACCUGGAGGCCCAAGAAUGCGUGGCCCUCGCCCUCCGGGUCCUAGAGGACCGGCUCCCGGAGGUCCUAUCAGGGGACCUCGACCUCCAUGGACACAGGGACAACCUCUAGGUCAAGGUCCCCCAGGGUCUGAUAUGAAUAGUCCACAAUUAUUACCCCAGCCAAAUCCAUCGCUGCAAGAGCAACAACAACAACCCGUCGAUAGCAGCGUCAGUAAUGUUGUGCAAGGUCAGAAUCAAAUUGGAUAUGAUGGAAUGCAACCAGAUCAGCAGGUGCAGCCAACACCAAUGGAUACAUCUGGACAAAUGCCACUACAACAAGGCCCAAGUCAAAGUGAUAUUAACUUAGUAGGAAACUCUGGUGCUAUCAAUCAUAUCAGUGAUCCUGGAUUGUUACAGCCGACCGACAUGCAGCAACAGCCUCCUUUUCAAGAUAUGAAUCAAAGAUCCUCGAACGCAAAUCCUGGUAAAGGAUCACUAUUCCCUUUUCAAACUCCUCCUACAUCCACUUCCCCUCUUACCUCAGGGACCCCAUUUAUGAGGCGUCCUUCCUUCAGAGGUCCAAGACCUCCUCCUCUCCGGCCUCCUCGUAGCGUUUUAAUUGCUGCAAAUGCUACACGCAUAUUUUCUACAUCCGUCAAAGAUCGUUCCUCUUCCUUUCCCUUUAGUAACCUCAAUCAAAACAAGUCACCACCCAUCAACAGUCUAAAUAGCAGCAACAAUAAUACUCCGUUCUUGGACACCAACCACACUACCACCACGAAUACGGUACUUCAUCGGAAUGAUAAUAAUAGUUCUAAGCACCCAACCUCUUCCUCCUCCAUUGAGGAUAACAAAAUUAACAAUCUAAAUAUAUUGGAUCCGUCUAUGUAUCCUCAACCACAACAACAGCAAAUGCAACAGCCAUUAAAUCCACCACAGCAAAUGCAACAGCAGCAGGAUUUCAAUCAGCAACAACAUCAACAACAUCCCAAUAAUCAAAUGCUCUCAAUGCAACAACAGAUGCAUAAUUCAUAUGAAACAGAACCUAUUGUGCCUAAUAAUCAAAAUCCCCCUCAAAUUGUUCAAGAACAAACCUUUAAACCCCAACCUCAAGCCCAUGCUUCUUAUCCCCAACAGCAACCCAUUCCUCAACAACAACCUCACCAAACACAAAUCCUUCCCCCAAAUAAUAAUUUGAAUAAUCAUAACAAUUUUCCAUCUCAACAACAAAUGGAUCCCCACAUGCAGCAACAAAAACUCCAGCAAUUUGGAAUGAUGCAUGAUCAGAAUAUGGGGAUGGAACAAGGUCAUUUGCAACAGCAACAACAGUCCUCGUAUGUUGUUGAUGAUAAUAGUGAGUAUGAUCGUAGAGGUAGUUUAGGUUCACUCCAUAGAACAACGACUCAGGACUCGGUUUAUUUGGAUAUAUCUCGUAAAAAAUUGGAUAGCAUGGCUGAUGAAUACUCUAAAAUUAAGCAAGCAUUACUUUCCGAUCUUCUAGAUGAUGAGGAAGAAGAAGAAAUUGAAGUAGAGGAAGAAGACGUUAUAGAGAACCAACCUUCAGAGCCAAUUCUUGCUCCAAAGGCUCAGGAAGAGGAGUUUAAUGACGAAGAUGAAUUACUAGAAGAAGAAGAAACCAAUGAGCAACAACUCAUGGUUGAAGAAGAGAUGAAUCAAUUUGAGCCUAUUGAGAUGAGUGAGGCACCUUUCAUGGACGAGGAUGAAGAAAUCCUUAUUUCUGAGAGCGAACUUCUUGAUGAAGACAAAUUUAGAAGUAACUUUGAGGGAAUUUUAAAUUUCCAUGAGGAUAAAACCAAAUCUGAUUCCUCAAUAUUAAUAGACAAAACGAAUAAAAUGAGUAAUGCAAUACAAAAGCAAGAUCCUCAUCAAUUGAGAUUAAUCUCUGGUCCUAAAGGGAACAAUGAGAACGUCCAUUAUGGUGUUCUUGUGGAUGUUCCAUAUCCUGUAUCCCCAGAGGAUGAUGAAUAUGGAUUUAAGAAUGAUCAGGGUCUGAGUCUUUCAGUAGGCUCUCUUGCGGGAGAAGUGUAUACUAUCCCUGAAGAACCUGAGGCCGAAGAGGGUAGUCCUACGGGAGGUGAUGGAGUCUCAAGAAAGAGAGGAGGAUCACAACCACCACCACCUACACAGCACUACAAGGUCAUUGAACCAAAUAAACCUCAUGUUGAACCCAAAAAGCCGAAAUCUCCAAAAGUAGUAGCUCAAAAAGCUAGAGGAGUAAUUACAGGAGGAAUAUCUUCGAAAAAACCACUCCCAAAAACAUCUUCGCCAAAGAAAACUGCAAUGAAAACACCUGUUGCAAGUAUGUCUGAAGUGGACAGGCGCGUUCUCAUGAAGAGCCCUGUGACUGUGAGGACCUCCAAAGUGAAUGUAAUAGAGGACGAGGAGGAGGAUGAUGUCCCUCUUGUUGAUAUGGAUGAUUUGGAGGAUGAGUCUAUUCGCUCUGAAACACGUGCUCCUGUUGAUGGUGAUCGACUUUUUUCUAGUGCGUUGAAUAGUACGGGCAUGCAUAAUGCUCUUUAUGAUAUGGGUGGGUUCUCCUCUGUUUCGACUUCGGCCUCGGAAUUAAGAGAAAAACAACAAUAUUCCAGCUCCGUCGUAUCCCAAAACUCAUAUCGACAAACAUUUAAAUCUCCUGUAAACGCUCAGGCUUGGUUAAAAGACAAGGAAGAGGACUUGGACAGAAGAGAAGUAAAUUUGGAUAUAGAGAGAGGGAGACGUGAGCUGGAGAGAGAUAGACGAGAACUAGAAAAGGAUAGAAAGAUGUUGGAAGAUUUUGAGCGGAAGAGACGAGAAAGAGAUUUGGAUAUGGAGCGAGAAAAACUGGAUAUUGAACGAGAACAUUUCCGUCGUGAGCAGAUCGUAGCUGAAAAGAGGGAAAAAGAACGAAGGGAUUUAAUUGAAAGAGAAAAAAUUGAGACUUUAGAGCAUGAGAGAAGAGAAAUGGAGGCUCGAUUAGAGGAAGAGACAAUACGACGAGAGCAGGCACUCAUCAAGCGUGAACAAGAAAUCAUGCUUCGAGAGCAGAGUGAGUGUCAAAGAGCUCUUGAAUUGGAAAGAAUUGAAUUAGAGCAUCAGCAACAAGUUAUUUUUGAGCAAGAGCAGAGACGACAUCUUGAGGAUAAAGAAGCUGAAAUUGAGCAAGAAAGGAGAGAAAAAGAGGAGGCUCAAGUCAAACAAAAACUCAUUCAACAAAAAAAGUUACUUCAACAACAACAUCAGCAAAAGAAACAACAACAGCAGUUGCUCCUUCAAGAGCAACAACAACAAAAGCUCAUUGCACAAAAGAAGCAAGAACAGCUACUGCGGCAACAGCAACAACAACACAAUUUAAAGCAGGAGCAAUUGAUCAAGCAGCAACAACAAUUAAAACAGCAAAAACUCUCCGCCAAAAAUCCUCAACAGCCCUUGAGACAGCAUCAAGCUAAAGAUCAAAAGUUAACAGGGCAACAACAGCUUCUAUCUAAACAACAACAAUUACACAAUCAACAACAGCAACAUCUUCAACAGCAGACACAACAACAACUGCAAUUAAAAUCCGCCAAAGAGAAUCUUCGUACGGCAAAUAAAGUAUAUCAAAAAGAGCGUCAGAAAAAGCCUAAUAGUCAGAAUUCAAAGGGCUUGAUGAAUAGCAAUGAAGGCUGUGGUGGAUAUGGGGGAAACUUUAACAACGAAUCAGAUGAGAUACACACGAUGGAUUACGAUAAUCGAGAGCCAUUGGAAGAUUUUAAUAUAUACGCCACUAGUGCCAAAGAUGACUUUUAUAACGCUCAAGCUCCAUCCAUGCAUCGACAAGUCAACACCUACGUCGUCGACAAACCGUCCAAGUACAACGGAAAUCCCCAUCAUAGUUCAAAUCGUCCUUCAUCACCUUCCACUGGAUAUUCAACGGGUAAAAGAGUUGAAUUAAACAUCAUGGAUAGACAGCAGCAACAGCAACAUCGAGCCGAAGAGAUACUUCAAAGAGAAAAGGAGUUUAUCGAGAAAGAGCGUGUCAAAUUAUCUCGUGAAAGAGAACUUGCUUUUGAGAAAGAGAGAGAAUAUGACAGGGAAUUGAUGAAAAUGAAGGAACGAGAACGGGCUCGAGCCCUUCUGGAAUCCAGUCCGUCCAGGCCAUCCACCAAAUAUCGAAGCAGCAGUCAUAAGGAAUCAAGAAAUACGUCUCUUCAUCAUAACCAAAGCAAUAGUUAUAAUAGUAGUAAUCAACACAAUAAUAAUAACAAUAAUGGGGAGGACGAUUCCAUCUCAGGAAUGCUUGAUAAUUUCUCGAAGGCCUUGGGGGAUAUUCGAGAUAUACGCGAGAAGCGGAUGAAAAGAUUGGAAGAUUCAUCUCCUCCUCGAUCAAACAACGUUACCGCCUCAUCUAUUGAAUUGGAUUUACUUAAAAAUCGUUCUCAUUCGUCUCAUAGCAGCAGUCAACCCACGAGUUCCCACAAGUUAAAUAGUCAGGGACAUCAAAAUAGUAGUAGUUCUUCCAAUAUGCAGGGAGGAGGAUCACAGUAUCGUCAAUCCAUGAAUAAUGGUAUGAUGUAUAAUAACUCUAAUAUGAUGCAAGGAUCUAUACCAGGGCAACAAUUUACUACAGCAGGAUAUAUCCAUGGAGUUCCACAACAACAACAACAACAACUUCAGCAGCAGCAGGUUCAAAAUCAAAGCAUGAUGCGUGGUCAGCAGCAGCCAAUGAUGAAUACGGGUGGAAUGAUGAAUCAACAGAGAUUCGCUCAGGUACCCCAACAACAACAACAACAACAACUGCAGCAACAGGCACAUCCAGGAAUGCAGCAGUCACAAUCAAUGGUAGGCCGCUUGGCAGCAGCAGCAGCUAAUUAUUUACCUGGUCAAGGACAGGUUUCUCAGCCUCAAAUGACCACUACCCUUUAUAAUAAUACCGCCGCCGCCGUCCCUUAUCAAACACAGCAAACACUGCAACACAAUCAGUUGCAACAGCCUCAAAUGCUGUAUCAGCAAACUCCUCAGCAGCAGCCUGUUUAUAAUUCCCCGGCGGCAGCGGGAGCAAUUUCAACUGUCCGUUCCACAGGAGCUGUAUUGACUGGUGCCUCAAAUGUCCCUCUUUCCCAAGUAACCUAUGGGCUGGGGCAACAGUCAACACCCCUCCUGAUAUCACAUCAGCCAGUUGCAACUGUUCAGUACGCUCACCCGUCUCAACCUCCCACUGUGUUAGGGCAGCAGCAGCCCAUUUUAGGCAAUGUCCAAUGUUCUUCUUCUUAUCCUCCUUUUCCUCCACAGCAAUCAAUUCCUACACAGCAGGGAAGUGGUGGUCAUCCUGUCCUCCUUGGUAGUGGUUCAGGUUUAUUGGGCUCAGAGCUCAGUCCUAUGAUCAAUGUCUCAUCUGGGGCUCAGCAGAUGCCACAUCUUCUUGUUCAGCAACAACAACCGAUUGUCACCGCGGCGGCCUUACCUGGAAGAAUUCAGCAACCGGAUCAACUUCAACAACAAGCCCUUGCAGCGGCUAUCAUGGGUCAGGAUUUACAGAGUCAGCAACAGCAAAUGUAUUUGCAACAGAUGCAAAAUCUCAAAAAAAUGAGACAGCGUCUUCCGCACGUAAGUGGAGCUGAGUUAGCUAGACUCCAAAAGCAAAUAAGAGAUUUACAGCAACAACAACAGUUACAAACUUUACAAACUCUACAGCUCGCUAAAAAGCAAGAGAAACAGGCUUUCAAGUACCUAAAUCAGUCUAUAAAAGCUAGACCCUAUAGAAACAGCUGUACUCUUCCACACAAGAGUAAGGCUUCAAAUUCUUCACCACUUCUUUUACGUAAAGAAAUGUCUCGAAUCCCUUCUGCGGCCUUAUUGUCUGGAGCUACUCUAGCGAUGAGUGAGCCAGUCAAGUCCUCAAGAGCACAUAGGAAUCAAGCAAAUUUGGACUCUGUUCUACUACAAGCUGCAAGAGCUCAACAUGGAAUAACAGGAACAUGGACUCCGGUAGGGACACCUGAUACAAUGAGCGAAACAGGGUCACUCAAAUCCCGCUCAAGAAGAACACUACCAUACCUACCUCCAGAGGAACCCACACCCCUACCCUCUCAAGCAAAAAAAUCACAGGAUAGAAUGAGAGCGUAUGCCAAUUUGCGACAAUCGAGUUUUGAUGGAGCCACACGAGCUUUACUCUCAUCUGUUAAGCCAAGACCAAGUUCAAGCGAAACGAAUCUACGAAAACUCACAGCAACUGAACAUUACAGUCGACCUGGAUCCGCUCUAGGUCUACUGCAAGGUAUAAAGAAAGCCUCAAGUGUGGUGAGUAGUUACGGUCCAACGUCAGCGACCAAAGAGCAUGAAAAACGGAUAUUGGAAAAUAUUCUACCUCCGGACCUCCGACACUUAGUUCGAGGAGGAUCGCCUUCGGCUGUGCAGCAUAUCAAAUUGCAAAUUGAAGAAGAAAUGCGAAAGACUUCAGGAGAUAAGUUUACAGGAACAGAAGCUGAGCAAGCACGUAAAAAUGCGGAGCGACGCCUUUUUGGUCCUCUGGGAUCUGCUCAAUCCGAAAGAAUUCGGCAGGAAAUGCAACGAUAUGCAACAAUGAGAGAUCCUAGGUUAAGGGCGGAAAUGAAACACAAAUUGAAUCCUGUGAUGGAUGCGCAGUUGAAUCGAAACCGUCGUUACAGGGGUCAUCGACGGCAAUUGUCUGAUCCUCGAAUGACUUCUACACUGACAGAUAAUUUUGAGGAUGAGUAUUCAAUUGGAAGACCUUACUCAAGCUUGGCGCGAGAUUUUGAUCCCUUAGCUGAGAGUUUAGGUAUGGAUAACUCUCAAUCCUAUUUUGGGAGUGGAGCCUUAGACGGUGGCGGGUCAAACUCAGCCACUAUUCUCAAGGACCAUUCUGGUUAUGAGAGUAUAGAUGAUAGGAAUAGAUAUUUAAACAAUCGAAGAUCUCAGUUAAUACGAAGAUCAAGUGAUGGUGGCUUAACGAGUUCGUAUUUAGAGGGAGGAGGAGCGACGACGUCUUUGGGUCACACAACUGGAGGGGGAAUUUCUAGCCCACUCAAUAGAAGAGCCUAUUCAUCCUUGAGCGGUAGGAUGCAUUCUCGAUCUUGGCAUCCCUCCCCCUUUGGUUCCGAUGACGACGUCGUCUCCUCCGAUGAGCCACAUUUUUAUAAAGAAGAAAAGCAGAAAAAUCGAAUCAAGAUGGAGAUUGCUCGUCGUCGACAGCAGAUAGAAGAGAAUGCUUGUCUUCAUGAAGAGUUGACACGACUUGCCAAACUCCGAGAAACGGCAGAGAUAACUGAUCGCCUCUCCGGAAUGGGCCUUAGCAACGCUGCUACCUCGAGUGGAGUAAUGGGAUCCUCCAAUAAUCCUUUAGUUACAGACUCGACCUCGGUCCUAAAAAGCGUUGAUGAGGUUUUAAGGGAUCCUGAUUCCAUGGGGAACUUUCGUUCGUCUUCCGCACCUCUCGGCUCCUCCCGCCGUUAUGGCGGAGGAGGAGAUACAUUUAACUCGGACUAUUACACCAGUUCCGUCUAUGAUCGGGUCGCAGACUUUAGUCCUAUUCACUCUGGAGAGACCUUAGAUCAUAAUAGAUAUCAUCAUCACCAUCAUACUCACUCACAUCAUCCAUCCUCCUCGUCAGCUGCUGAUGCUCAACAUUACAAUCACUCUUCUUCAUCUUAUGUCGUCGGAGGGAGUGGUGGAGCUAGCGGCGCAGGAGGGAAUAAUUCUGCAGCAGAGACAGGAAUGGUUCACUCUCAUCAUAAUCCCCAUCCAUAUUGGUCAACAGGGAGCAAUCCAUCUUCCUCUCAGCAGAGAAAAAAUCAUUCUAAUAAUUAUAAAAGUAAUUCAGGGAGACAUUCCCAACCCUAUCCAGAUGAUUAUGGGGGUAUAGGAGGUCCAUCUCGUGUUCCUAGACUUGGUCUAGGAGGUAGAUUCGAUGAUAGCGAUGACUAUAAGUCCAGGAAAUCUCAAGUAAGAACACAUCCUUUCUACAAGACGAGUACCAUGGGAGGUCAAGACAUCCAUCUAAACAACCUCUUAUAACGAAAAAGUACCAACUAAAUCUCUCAGAUCUAUCUUAUCUACAUAGAGUGACCCGUAGAUCCCUCAACACUACGUUCAUCGAAGAAAUGGAAGAAAUGUUUGGAAUUUGUUUGCAAAAGCGUCUCUCAACAACAACAGAUGAAGGUUACUACGUUGUUACUAAAUUAAAACUUGGAACUCAAGGUCAUGACUUGUCUGCAAAUGAUUUAUACAUUGGGGAUUAUCUCG
rnacentral:misc_RNA from 1 species